UCUCCCUCUGUAUUUCACUCGUUCAUCUGCGGAGUAAAAGGAAGGCAUUGAAAGCCUUCGUUCGAUAUUAGAUGAAGAAUGUGUCGGCUUUAAGAAUAAUGAAACUCCGCAAAGCAUAAUGGCCCUUUCUUCACCAUAUGAAUAGCCAAAUCCGCUUCUUUUAAUGCAGAAUCGAAGUGAAGUUAGAUUUAGUUCGCUAUGGCUCUUGAUAAGACGUGUGUGGCUCAUACUGGGGGGAAAAUGUACAAAUAUAUAUCUUAUGUUCUUGAAUUCAAAUUCAAUAUAAUAUCAAAAUUCACCGAGGCAUCGGAAUGUAUGGUCUGAGACAAGAAAAAUGGGAGUGAAGUCCGUACUCAGCGAUAUUCUAUCCGACCACCAGCUCGCCAUAUUUAAAUUCUGGAAUAACAACCUAAGACAAGCCUAUUUUACUGGGUUCAUCCUGUACAUAUAAUUUUAAAUGAUUAUUUGUGUUUAUCAAACUGAUGAACUAUACUUCGGUUGAAAGUAGUAGAGUUAAAGAUACUACUAUUAUCUGACAUUGCUGGUUACAUAUUAGUUUCAAGUUUGUGUUACUAGAGGUUACGAAAAUUCGAUCGUGGUAUGAAGGCACUUUUACAAAUAUUUGACACUUUUCGCCUGAACGUAUCCUUGUUUGAUGAAUUUGUGGUGGAUGCUAGAUGGCAGCAGUUGGUGUCGUGACUAUUGAGGAGACGGUUUUACGAAUCGGAAAUCUAAUCUUAAAUUUACAAACCGUUUCCAUUUAUUGUAUACAAGUAUCUUGGCAUUUAAAAUAUCUUGCCCAAAUUUCUGUUCUAGCGAAAUUCUUUCGUUUUAAUCCAUACACCAUAGCAAUUUCUUUUCAAAAACAUACUAUAGAUAAUCAUCUUUAACUAGAAUUGUUAUUGUAUUUAGUUACAGUGUUAUAGUUUCAUGAUGCACAUGGCUAGUGACUUGACGUGGUGGUCGGUCCGUUUCAUUAGCCCAGCCGGAGCAGAACAGUAGGACGUUAAACCCCAGUUCAUUGACGCGACAGAUUAAGAAAUUAUCGUGUAUACAAGUAGAGCAUUGGUAGGCGGGGUUUCUUGGAUAGCAGUCAGAACUAUUUCUGAAAUCAGAAAUGUCGAACGUUAAUGCCAAUCCAUUUGAUUCAUUUUGAAAUUUGUCAUGCGAAUUUUAUCUAUGCACAAUCGGUUCCUUCCAAACAAGAAAACAUGGGUUCUGAAUAUUGUCAAUUACUAAAUACUCACUCUUUUGAAAACACACGAACAGGAAAAAAGGGCUGACAAGCAAUGAAAUUCUUGUUUCAAUUCACAACCUGCGAUAUUUUUUUUAAUUAAAAUUUAAAGAUGUUAAUUGAAAUGCAUGAUGAAUUAUAUACGUUACUGAUGAUGAGUAUAUUGUUGUGUCUGCGUUUUGAGAUAACUCUCGCUGUAUUAUGAAUUUAUAUAUAGAAGUCAACGACUAGAAUCGUUUCACGCCGUUUCUGUGGCCAAACACAGCAUCAGCGACUUUUUAUUAAUCUUUAGAGAAGAUCAACUGAAUCGUACAUUAUCCAUUUAUUCUGAGUCAAAGUCGUGAAAUUUAGUUUCAUGGUUAUUAAUAAUCGAGAAGGUGAUCAAGUACAAUGUCGGUGUCGUUUCUUUUCAAUACCCUUAAAUAAAUUCCGAUUUAUGAAAGAGUUCUGACCACGUUACUAAUACGAUGUUCUUAAUAUAAAACCAAACAUUUCUGUUAAACAAUAAAUUGAAUGAACGAGGAUUCUAUGAUAGUGUUGUUGACAUAACGUAAUUAAUUAAGUAAGUUGUGUGUAAUAGUCUAAGACUGGGUGUUGAUUUUCUUCUAUUAUUUACUUCGUCCCAAGAUAGAUAUUAAAGUUAUAGAAAGGAAAACAAUUUAGAGGUGUUCUUUCAGCGGUGUAAUAAUGUACCGGAUGACACGUGUAUAACUUGAAUAGAAUAACUUAUUAAAACAAACUCCGAAGAUGAAUGCACCAGGAAAAUUCAUUUCUAUGACUUAAAGGUGUUUUAUUGAGUACUAGUUAAUAAAUUGUAUGUUCUGUGGGUGUAGGGUAGAGAGUUCGGCCGGUAGCGCCCAUGGUCGCCAAUUUUUACCCCUUGCCAACUGCCAUCAUGGUCGCCAUUUUGUUACUUCUGGUCAACUGCAGCAUAGGUCGCCAUUUUGUUACCUAUGGCUUUCUUGGGUCAUGGAACCCAUUUUGUUGCGCAAUCUUUAAUUUUUAUAGAUCAAUAGAAAAAAAAUAUAUAUAAACUAAUAAGUAUCCGUUAAAAAAAACGGAAUUAUAGAUAUGUGUAGGAUUGGAGCCGGAAACUGUGUACGAUUCUGUAAUUGUAUAGCACUAUGAUUAGACAAAAAAACAAACAAUUUUUAUACCCAAUCACAAUUGGGACAUCAGUUGGCCACACUCUCUCUCUAUGUAUAUGACUGGUUACUCUGGACCAACCUACCCCCUUUCAAUUGCACACAAAAAUAUGACUGGUGACUCUGGACCAAACCUAUACUCUUCAAAUGCACACAGAGAUCUACCUGCUUUACAUCGAUUUUGUAUAGAGAUUCACACGUUUGUUUAGAGCACACUAUAGUCUAUAUAUCCUCAUAUAAUGUAAUAACCUUCCUAAUUUAAAUUCCGUUUUUUGUUCUCUUGACAACGUAAAAUAAAAGUUAAAAAAAAUAAUUAAAAAUUCGUAAACUUUAUAAAUUGAAGAUGUCUCACUUGAACCAUAGAAUUUCUUUUCCUGUAUCCAGCUGAUUAAAGAAAAUGUAUUGAACAAUACUUAAACAAAUAAAGAGCAGAAUAUUAUUAUUUUAGAAAAUAUCAGAAAUAAAAUGAAAUUGGGUUUAACGUCCUGCCAUUCUGCUCCGACUGGGCUAAUAAAGACGGGCAUACGCCAGUGUGCUAUGAGGGAAAUUUUGCAGACACAGCAGCGCCAAGAUUUACUCUUACAUUGAAUUCCAAAAGGGAUCUUUUAUGUGCACGCCAAUGUGUACACGGGAGCUCAGUUUAUAGAUAUAUUUUCAAAUGUUAGUCCCUGACAUUACUCCUGAUAAACCGGAAUAGUUACUUCUGCGUCCACAUUAGGAUUCCCAUCCGUAAUAUAUUUGUACGGCAAGUUAUUUAAAAAGGGUAAGUGAAGAAUACUAUACAAUAUGAUGGAUAUCAAGAAUAUUGAACAUUUAUUUCUAAUUUGGCUAUUAAUAAGACGUAUAUGGUAAGAUGGUGGAAAUAAUAUUUAGUUUUAUCUCUUUCACUUCUACAGCCUAUUAAACAUACAUUAUACAAGGGCAGAAUCUGCCUAUAGCAGGUCUUUCUUUAGGCCUUAUAUGUUAUAAAAACAAUUAAUUACACAUUUGUUAACAUGGCUAGACUAUAAUCAACUCUGGAUACCUUCAGAUUGGUCUGAUUUUAAGUAGAUUAGAACAGUUCAGCCAUUUAAUAAUUUAAUCUAAAAUUGGUGAAGCUAGGCUAAGCUUCGAAGAACCAGUACGGUUAUUACAAGCAGUGCACACGUCUUGUCAAACCUUUAAAGGCUAAUAUCUUAGCUCAGAAUAAAGUAACUUGAAUGAAAUUUUCGCAUUUUGCAUUAUCUAUUUUUGAACUACAGUGUAUUAUAGCAUGAGCGACCAACUCUUGAUCUAAAUCUUACAUAAUGUAUCUUUAAAAAUAUUUGAACUAGUAUAGCAUAAACGACAAACCAACUCUUUAUAUAAAUUGUACAUAAUGUAUCUUUAAAAAUAUUUAUUCAUUUGUUUCUUUAAUUUGAAAUAAAAUCUUCAAAAAUA